GUGCAGCAGGCGAGAAACCUCCGCAAUACACGAAAGUGUGACGGGCCAUCCCGAGUGCCGUCCGCUGAGGACGGCUUUUCCCCAGUGUACACAGCUGGGGGAAUAAGGAGAGGGCAAGCCUGGUGUCAGCCGCCGCGGUAAUACCAGCUCUCCGAGUGGUGGGGACGCUUAUUGGGCCUAAAGCAUCCGUAGCCGGCUGGGCAAGUCCUCCGUUAAAUCCAACGAUUCAAUCGUUGGGCUGCGGGGGAUACUGUCCAGCUUGGGGGCGGGAGAGGCCGACGGUAUUCCCCGGGGUAGGGGUGAAAUCCUAUAAUCCCGGGAGGACCACCAGUGGCGAAGGCUGUCGGCUAGAACGCGCCCGACGGUGAGGGAUGAAAGCUGGGGGAGCGAACCGGAUUAGAUACCCGCGUAGU
rnacentral:rRNA from 1 species